AAAGACUUGACGGUACUUCACAACAACCUAGAGGAGCCUGUCUAAUAACCGAUACUCCACGAUUAACCCCACCCGCCCUAGCCUAACAGUCUAUAUACCGCCGUCGCCAGCUUACCUUGUGAAAGAAAUAAAGUGAGCACAAUGAAUCAACCCCCCACACGACAGGUCGAGGUGUAACUUAUGGGCGGGUAAAAGAUGGGCUACAUUUUCUAACACAGAAUAUACGAAUAUACUAUGAAACUAGAAACUGAAGGCGGAUUUAGCAGUAUGAUAAGAAUAGAACCCUUAACUGAAACCAACGCAAUGAAGUGCGUACACACCGCCCGUCAUCCCUG
rnacentral:rRNA from 1 species